rnacentral:sRNA from 1 species
UCGCUGGAUUCGGAGGUGACCAUAAAGCCAGUCUCUGAUGCCUACACACAGACUAUACAGUGUGAUGGAAUACAGGCAAAACUUGAAUGAUUAUGAAAUAGGAUUCUAUCCACUGGCUGGCAUGCUGGAAAGCUUUAUGGUCCUCUUGGCACGUGCUACAGUGGGGACUCACAACAGCUCUAUGACAUCAUUGGAAGAGUGAAGUAAAGUACUGGAUGUUUAACUGUAAAGGAGCUUCUUCAAAUGGGAGAAAAGAUGGGAGAUACAUGCCAACAGUGAGUCCAUGCAGAAGUGGCAUCAUAACUGGUGACUAGAAGUGGAAUAAGAGAUUCUUCCUGCAUCACGACUGCUAUAGCACACAGUCAGAAGGAGCAAGUGACUCACUCACACAGCUGCUUGGAGCUACAAUGCCACACAGCCUUUGUCGACCAGCUAUUCCCUGUGAAAGAAGCCUAGUCAGUUUGACCUCUCUUCUGCAUCUUCUAAACUCUUGGCCAAGAUCUUCUGGUCUGGGAGAUACUAUGGCAGGAACAGCACAGAAAAAUAAAUGAAGGAGGAAGAUGAUAUGGGAAGAUGCUUUCUCACAUCUGAUUUCCUACAAAGUGCCUGCCACAAUCUCGCCCAUCUCUCGCCAACUGGUAUACUGUCUCUGCUUUCCAAAAUUCUAGAUACUCAACAUCAACUCCUACAGAAGACAAAGAAUUAAUAAGAAGUAUGUCCAGAAGACACUAGCCCCACUCUUCCAACCCCAUCACUGUGCUCAGUAGAUUCCCUGGUUUAUAAUCCAACUGGAAGAACUGAGGCAGGCACUCCUGUAUGCUGGCUCCCCAUAUAUGACCAACCACUCACAUAUAAGGUCGGAUGCUCUCCUUUCUCUCUGUCAUCAAGCCACUGAAUUCAUCAGGAAGGAGUCCUCUAUCAGCUCAAGUGCUUUGAGCUCAUGUGCUCUGGGCUCCCCACUAUUUAGUGGGCAGCUCCAGCAGGCAUUGAAAUAGGCUCUUAUCUCAACUUGAACCCGAAACCUGUGACUCUACUUUAUUCUCCAAAUACAGAAGCCCAAAAACCAAGAAGUAGGAAGGUAAUGUCAGUGAUGUCAGUGGUACAGCACUGCGCAUGGUGUAUGGAUGCAUCCCUCUGCGUUGUAAAGAAGAAAAGUCUUCACUCAGAAGUGGGCACCUGCACUGAAAAUUCAUGGAGUUAGAAUACAGGGAUGCGCCUGAUCCAUUCAAUGGUGCAAGAUUGGAGACAGGAUUCUUCCCCAGAAGAAAACCUUAUUAAGAGUUCCAAUGGAGACUGCAGCCUGACUGAUGGUGCUCACAUUUCUUCAACAUCAGUGAGACCACCCUUGGCACAAGUGAGAAUGAUACGGUCAACCGGAAGGAUGGGAACACAACAGGAAGAUGGGCCUUUGGCAUGCCUGUGGGAAACUAUCUUGAUUAGAUUAAUGGAGGUGGAAAGAUUCUCCCACCAUAGGUGUCACCAUUCCCUAGACAAGGCAUCCUGGAGUAUAUACAAGUGGAAAAGGUCACAAAAUCUACCUUAUUAUGAGGGUGGACAUGCAAGCUUCAGUCAAAGGCUGUUCUACAGUGAGAAUCUGUGGGAUUCUUCAACGGUGUCUAAGAUGAUGAACAGCAAUGGAAGCCAUGGAAGUGUCCCACAUUAAAAUGAGGGGGAAAGCUGCAAAGGUGGAUACUGGAAAAGAGCAGAAGAUCCUGGGGAUGGUAAUGUCCUCCUAUUUUCAGAAAGCUGCACAUUCUAAGCAUUGCUGGACUUUAGAGAAAAACCCUGAAAAUAUCAAGCAAAUAAGAUCUGUAUCAGCUGGUGAAAUAUA